rnacentral:rRNA from 1 species
AUGAAGGGAAGCGGCACCGCCGUCGUGCUGAUUCUCUCGCUCGCAGUCCUCCUCGUCCUGGGCGCCGCCGUCGCCGACGACGCCAUCAUUCGCCUCCACUCCGAUGCGGUGACGGAGGAGACGAGGCCGUGGGACUGCUGCGACCACCCCGUGUGCACCAAGAGGAGCUGGUGCGGCUGCAAGGACGUCGUCGAUCAGUGCUUCCCCACCUGCAAGAACUGCAAGCCGGCGAAGCGAGCGGACGAGUCGGCCCCUUCCGGCUACAUGUGCCGGGAGACCUACCACGGCAGUCCCGGGCCCAAGUGCAUGCUCUGA